GAUGGUUUGUAGUUGAUAGUUUGUAGUUGAUGGUUUGUAGUUGAUGGUUUGAAACUAUCAACUACAAACUAUCAACUACAAACUAUCAACUACAA
rnacentral:pre_miRNA from 1 species